GCCCAGACUCCUACGGGAGGCAGCAGUGGGGAAUAUUGCACAAUGGGGGAAACCCUGAUGCAGCGACGCCGCGUGAGCGAUGAAGUAUUUCGGUAUGUAAAGCUCUAUCAGCAGGGAAGAAGAUGACGGUACCUGACUAAGAAGCCCUGGCUAACUACGUGCCAGCAGCCGCGGUAAUACGUAGGGGGCAAGCGUUAUCCGGAUUUACUGGGUGUAAAGGGAGCGUAGACGGCGAUGCAAGCCAGAUGUGAAAGCCCGGGGCUCAACCCCGGGACUGCAUUUGGAACUGUGUGGCUGGAGUGUCGGAGAGGCAGGCGGAAUUCCUAGUGUAGCGGUGAAAUGCGUAGAUAUUAGGAGGAACACCAGUGGCGAAGGCGGCCUGCUGGACGAUGACUGACGUUGAGGCUCGAAAGCGUGGGGAGCAAACAGGAUUAGAUACCCGAGUA
rnacentral:rRNA from 1 species